GGUUAAGCGACUAAGCGUACACGGUGGAUGCCCUGGCAGUCAGAGGCGAUGAAGGACGUGCUAAUCUGCGAUAAGCGUCGGUAAGGUGAUAUGAACCGUUAUAACCGGCGAUUUCCGAAUGGGGAAACCCAGUGUGUUUCGACACACUAUCAUUAACUGAAUCCAUAGGUUAAUGAGGCGAACCGGGGGAACUGAAACAUCUAAGUACCCCGAGGAAAAGAAAUCAACCGAGAUUCCCCCAGUAGCGGCGAGCGAACGGGGAGGAGCCCAGAGCCUGAAUCAGUGUGUGUGUUAGUGGAAGCGUCUGGAAAGGCGCGCGAUACAGGGUGACAGCCCCGUACACAAAAAUGCACAUGCUGUGAGCUCGAUGAGUAGGGCGGGACACGUGGUAUCCUGUCUGAAUAUGGGGGGACCAUCCUCCAAGGCUAAAUACUCCUGACUGACCGAUAGUGAACCAGUACCGUGAGGGAAAGGCGAAAAGAACCCCGGCGAGGGGAGUGAAAAAGAACCUGAAACCGUGUACGUACAAGCAGUGGGAGCA
rnacentral:rRNA from 1 species